GCCCAAUUACCUAGAGACUCGACUUCACGGCUGAAGUUCUUAAAUAAGAUGGAAUAUCUGUAUCGAUUUUACAACAACAAUGAAGCGUAUGGAGAGUGGACGAAUGACUGCAAGCAGAGAAAAUGAGUGUGCGGAAUCACUGGCAGCGUGAAUCCGACUCGCACUUGGCGGGAGCUUUAUCAGCAUGCAGAAAUCGGUGUUGUGGUGCGGUCGUUCGAACCGAGUGACAUUUGCGUGACGGUGCCGAGGCACAAUCAUGACAAUCAUAGUCAAUCGUAAAUAAUGAAUAGUCAAUAGGCCUAGUGUGUUCGUUCACGAAAAAUGUCUGGCAUUUCUCUCCAAAGAAUUUAGUAAAGUGUUUCAUUAGUCUUUAAUUAACUGUAAUAUCUGACUGUGUAGUUUCCUGUGAGUUAUAAGAGGAUUCGGCAUCGACGUUUCUUAAA